AACGAACGCUGGCGGCAGGCUUAACACAUGCAAGUCGAGCGCCCCGCAAGGGGAGCGGCAGACGGGUGAGUAACGCGUGGGAGCGUACCCUUUGCUACGGAAUAGCUCCGGGAAACUGGAAUUAAUACCGUAUGUGCCCUACGGGGGAAAGAUUUAUCGGCAAAGGAUCGGCCCGCGUUGGAUUAGCUAGUUGGUGGGGUAAUGGCCUACCAAGGCGACGAUCCAUAGCUGGUCUGAGAGGAUGAUCAGCCACAUUGGGACUGAGACACGGCCCAAACUCCUACGGGAGGCAGCAGUGGGGAAUAUUGGACAAUGGGCGCAAGCCUGAUCCAGCCAUGCCGCGUGAGUGAUGAAGGCCUUAGGGUUGUAAAGCUCUUUCACCGGAGAAGAUAAUGACGGUAUCCGGAGAAGAGGCCCCGGCUAACUUCGUGCCAGCCGCCGCUGUAAUAC
rnacentral:rRNA from 1 species